UUAUACAGCGAAACUGCGAAUGGCUCAUUAAAUCAGUUAUCGUUUAUUUGAUAGUACCUUACUACAUGGAUAACCGUGGUAAUUCUAGAGCUAAUACAUGCUAAAAAGCCCGACUUCGGAAGGGUUGUAUUUAUUAGAUUAAAAACCAAUGCCCUUCGGGGCUCCCUGGUGAUUCAUAAUAACUUCUCGAAUCGCACGGCCUUGCGCCGGCGAUGGUUCAUUCAAAUUUCUGCCCUAUCAACUUUCGAUGGCUGGGUCUUGGCCAGCCAUGGUAGCAACGGGUAACGGAGGGUUAGGGCUCGACCCCGGAGAAGGAGCCUGAGAAACGGCUACUACAUCCAAGGAAGGCAGCAGGCGCGCAAAUUACCCAAUCCCGAUACGGGGAGGUAGUGACAAUAAAUACUGAUACAGGGCUCUUUUGGGUCUUGUAAUUGGAAUGAGUACAAUUUAAAUCCCUUAACGAGGAACAAUUGGAGGGCAAGUCUGGUGCCAGCAGCCGCGGUAAUUCCAGCUCCAAUAGCGUAUAUUAAAGUUGUUGAGGUUAAAAAGCUCGUAGUUGAACCUUGGGCCCAGCCGGCCGGUCCGCCUCACCGCGUGCACUGGCUCGGCCGGGCCUUUCCUUCUGGAGAACCGCAUGCCCUUCACUGGGCGUGCUGGGGAACCAGGACUUUUACUCUGAACAAAUUAGAUCGCUUAAAGAAGGCCUAUGCUCGAAUACAUUAGCAUGGAAUAAUAGAAUAGGACGUGUGGUUCUAUUUUGUUGGUUUCUAGGACCGCCGUAAUGAUUAAUAGGGACAGUCGGGGGCAUCAGUAUUCAAUUGUCAGAGGUGAAAUUCUUGGAUUUAUUGAAGACUAACUACUGCGAAAGCAUUUGCCAAGGAUGUUUUCAUUAAUCAGGAACGAAAGUUAGGGGAUCGAAGACGAUCAGAUACCGUCGUAGUCUUAACCAUAAACUAUGCCGAUUAGGGAUCGGACGGUGUUAUUUUUUGACCCGUUCGGCACCUUACGAUAAAUCAAAAUGUUUGGGCUC
rnacentral:rRNA from 1 species